AGGCCAGGGAGAAAGAGGAAAAGAGGAAGUGGCAUGAGGAGAACUUAAAAAGGCGAGCUGAGAACGAGAGGAAGGCGGAGGUUGUGCAAGUGAUCCGAACACAAACAAAGAUCAAGAGGAUG